GGCUCAGGAUGAACGCUAGCUACAGGCUUAACACAUGCAAGUCGAGGGGAAACGAUAGAGAAAGCUUGCUUUUUCUAGGCGUCGACCGGCGCACGGGUGAGUAACGCGUAUCCAACCUGCCCAUCACUUGGGGAUAACCUUGCGAAAGUAAGACUAAUACCCAAUGACGUCUCUAGAAGACAUCUGAAAGAGAUUAAAGAUUUAUCGGUGAUGGAUGGGGAUGCGUCUGAUUAGCUUGUUGGCGGGGUAACGGCCCACCAAGGCGACGAUCAGUAGGGGUUCUGAGAGGAAGGUCCCCCACAUUGGAACUGAGACACGGUCCAAACUCCUACGGGAGGCAGCAGUGAGGAAUAUUGGUCAAUGGACGAGAGUCUGAACCAGCCAAGUAGCGUGCAGGAUGACGGCCCUAUGGGUUGUAAACUGCUUUUAUAAGGGAAUAAAGUGAGUCUCGUGAGACUUUUUGCAUGUACCUUAUGAAUAAGGACCGGCUAAUUCCGUG
rnacentral:rRNA from 1 species